AACGGUCUAUACCUGCGGUACCUGCGGAAGGAUCAUUAUUGAAAAAAAAAAAAAAGUUGGAAGUUUUUGUUGCUGGUCUUUUUUAAAAAUAAAAAGGGCAAUUAUGUGCACACUUCUUCUUUUUUAAAUAUCUUCUCCUGUGCAUAUUUUGUAAAUUUGAAAGAUCUUAUUUAAGAAUUGCUGAAAUGUGUAUUUUUUCAGCUUUUCUUUAGUCUUUUUUAUCUUUCAAAUUUAUGUUUA
rnacentral:misc_RNA from 1 species